rnacentral:rRNA from 1 species
GACGAACGCUGGCGGCGUGCUUAACACAUGCAAGUCGAGCGGUAAGGCCCCUUCGGGGGUACACGAGCGGCGAACGGGUGAGUAACACGUGGGUGACCUGCCCUCAGCUCUGGGAUAAGCCUGGGAAACUGGGUCUAAUACCGGAUAUGACUCCAUGACGCAUGUCGUGGGGUGGAAAGCCUUGUGCGGCUGGGGAUGGGCCCGCGGCCUAUCAGCUUGUUGGUGGGGUGAUGGCCUACCAAGGCGACGACGGGUAGCCGGCCUGAGAGGGCGACCGGCCACACUGGGACUGAGACACGGCCCAGACUCCUACGGGAGGCAGCAGUGGGGAAUCUUGCGCAAUGGGCGAAAGCCUGACGCAGCGACGCCGCGUGAGGGAUGACGGCCUCGGUU